UGCCUUUGUGUUGCCCGUUCGUUUGUUCAGUAAUGACACGUGGUGUCUACUAAGGCAUACAUUAAUUCUUGAAGGGAUUUCAACCUGGAGAUGUAUGCAUUUUGCACUUUGGACACUCUCUUCAAGAACAUUG